rnacentral:ncRNA from 1 species
GAACUAUUAUCUUUAUUUGUGGAAUGAUGGGGUAACGUCCGGAAACACAUACCUAAUACUACGACAUGCAGGAUGAAAGGUAGAAUUCAGAAUGUAUGAAGCUCGUUGAAGUCGGCAGAAGCGACCUAAGUCAAUGAAAUAUAUAAGUAAGAAUUGGUUAAUAAAUGUACUAGAGUACGCCCGUUUGGAACAUAUAGAGUAAAAGAUAUGGUUUGUGAUAUGCCGGGGUUCUAAAA